AGACCCCAGUUCAGGCGAGGCCACCCGCUGAGUUUAAGCAUAAUAAACUAAAGCGGAGGAAGAGAAACUUACGAGGA
rnacentral:rRNA from 1 species